GCGGCCUUUGAUCCUGAAAGCAAGAAGAUACGGAUCAGCUACAAGAUGCACGCUGAAUAUGGAGCAGUCAGAAACUUGCCAACCCAGCCGACUAGUCAAGUUAGUUCAACUCGACAAGAUCAAGCUUCUGGAACUUCUGAAAUACUGGCCCUUCCAGG